GAGAGAGACAUGCGCGCAUAUCAAUAAGCGGAGGAAAAGAAACUAACAAGGAUUCCCUUAGUAACGGCGAGUGAAGCGGGAAGAGCUCAAAUUUGAAAUCUUCCAAGGUUUUACCUUGACGAAUUGUAGUUUAGAGAAGUGUUUUCUGCUGAAGUUUUGGUAAAAGUUCUUUGGAAUAGGACAUCAUAGAGGGUGAGAAUCCCGUAUUUGACCAUUAUUUUCAGCUUUGUGAUACACUUUCAAAGAGUCGGAUUGUUUGGGAAUGCAGUCCAAAAUGGGUGGUAAAUUUCAUCUAAAGCUAAAUAUUGGCGAGAGACCGAUAGCGAACAAGUACCGUGAGGGAAAGAUGAAAAGAACUUUGAAAAGAGAGUUAAACAGUACGUGAAGUUGUCAAAAGGGAAGCGUUUGACACCAGUGUUGUUUUCUCGAAAAUCAAUUAAAAAUGGCUCGAUUUUGUAUUGUUGAGACCUUAAAAGCUCACUGUACAUUUUUCGUGUCUUUUUUAAUGCACUUUUCGUUUAACAAGUCAACAUCAGUUUCUUUUGUUGUAAAAGGGUCAUUGGAAGGUGGCUUUCUUUUCGGAGAAAGUGUUCAUAGCCUUUGGCCUCUGCAAUCGAAGAGACUGAGGUCUGCAGCGUAGACUCUUCGGGGUUAGAUACAUUUGUGCUAAGUUAUAGCUUUCUAUAGACAACUUGUUGACUAUAAUUAGUCUUGUAGCUUACUCGCUUAUGCUAUUUUACCUACGCUUAGGAUGUUGAAGUCAUCGUAUCGCGC
rnacentral:rRNA from 1 species